rnacentral:rRNA from 1 species
UGGGGAAUCUUGCGCAAUGGGCGAAAACCUGACGCAGCAACGCCGCGUGCGGGAUGACGGCCUUCGUGGUUGUAAACCGCUUUCAGCAGGGACGAAAAUGACGGUACCUGCAGAAGAAGCCCCGGCUAACUACGUGCCAGCAGCCGCGGUAAUACGUAGGGGGCGAGCGUUGUCCGGAAUCAUUGGGCGUAAAGAGCUCGUAGGCGGUUCAGUAAGUCGGGUGUGAAAGCUCCGAGCUCAACUCGGAGAGGCCACUCGAUACUGCUGUGACUAGAAUCCAGUAGGGGAGUGUGGAACUCCUGGUGUAGCGGUGAAAUGCGCAGAUAUCAGGAAGAACACCAGCGGCGAAGGCGGCACUCUGGGCUGGUAUUGACGCUGAGGAGCG